AAAAUUUUAUGGAAUGGUCCACGUUACUAACGAGAAAACCUCUUCUUUUUUCAAAUAAAUAUUAAUAUUUUUGUUCUUAUCCGUCGCCAAAUGGUCUUACUAUCAAUGAGAUAUGAUCUUUUAAUUCUUCUAUUCAGUAAUUGAACAGAUAGAAGUCUCUACCGUCACACACACACACACACACACACUCUCUCUCUCUCUCCCACUCGAAUCUCACAGAGACCGACUGAGAGAUCUCAAAGUCUUCCUAUGGCUCUCAUGGAUGAUCCUGGUUCCCGACCUACGCCGCUAAAGCUACACACUUGAAUCAAGUACUGUUUUCCUACGCCGCUAAAGCUACACACUUGAAUCAAAACAAUAUCUUCUUUCUCGUCUAAGUCAAAUAAGAUUAUCCAAAGGUUUCUUUGAUUCUGUUGUUUUCUUACUCUUCAACUUGAUAAACAAUUGGGCUGGAUGUUGAUUUAGGUGUUCGAUUUAAUUUGGUUCAAUUUUUUGGGGUUUCACUUUGAUUUAGGUUUUGGGACAUCUGUGUUUACAGGUUGUUGUUGGGUUGCCUAAAAUACACCGGCACUCUCUCUCACACCUUUAUCGGGUAUAAUCUUUAAGUUGUUGGUCUAUGUUCAAGUCGAUCAAUCAGCAGCUGUCAAGUUGAUAGCUGGAAAUUGGAAUCACUUACAGAUCUUUGAAACAAAGACAAGUACUGAGGUUUCCUUUUACUCAUCACCUUAAUUUGCUUCAUUUACUCUGUUACUUGCAAUAUAAGGGUGUUAGAUUAGUUUCAGGUCAGGAUUUGGCAAUGAAGAUGAAUCCCAACUGCUAACAGGUUGA